GCCCAAUAGGAAACACUGGUUUCUUGCCGACGAUGGACGUCUUUCCGACGUGGUUGACGAUGGGCCGCAGAUAUAUAUAUAUAUUUUUUUAAUAUUCAGGUAAGUGUUUUUUUUCUUAAUCUGUAGCGCUAUAUAAAGCGUUAUUUUAUUUUUCUUCGGAGUGAAAAUCGUCAUAUUUCCACCAGUAAAUCUAGUCCGUUCAGUCAGAUGAUUUUAAUAAAACGUGCCGACUUUUCAGCCACCGGAAUCACCGUAAAAAAAACUGGGGAAAUUUACUACUACUACUACUACUACUACUACUAAUAUAAUAAAGUAAUGUUGCACCUUGCUGUACAUUUCUAACCAUCGAUUUCAAUAAACCAUGAGUUACAGCUCUCUCUGUUAUCUGAUUGUCGUUGUCACAAGAUGAUCCGAUUUCACCUUCACAUAAGUUGCUGUCAUUGCCUGUCGCUUGAUUGAUCGCAUCAGUCAAUCAAUGCACCAAUCAAUGACUCAGUCAAUCCAUCGGACGCACUACAACUGGCUACUCGGUUGCACUACAUCGCUAUGUAUUUAUUAUAGCGAAGCUCGAGUUACAUGUUGCCAUAGCAACCUUGUUAAUGAGUCCAGCAAACGAGCUCGAGCUGCUACGCGGGUUCUUCUUCGCAUUACUUUAUAUCAUUACUAACAGCUCAUCGGCCAUGAUGAUCUGCGUGAGAUCAUAUAGUUACAACUGUAGCAGCUCCUGGUUGCCAGGUAGUCUGGUGGUAAGAGGUGUCACCUUACAUUUACUUUUAUUCAUACUGCAGCCCUUCCGUGUGAAGCGUCAUCGCUACACUUACACCAUUUACUCCAGUAACGCCGGACGAGACAAACCUGAGAGUGAGUAAGUGUCCGGCGAAAAGUACAUCACCGCAAGACACCUUGGCUCUGAGCGCUAUCUCGGGU
rnacentral:lncRNA from 1 species